CAUACAAAAAUUGCACCUUUAUUGACUAGAGGAGCGCUUUUGCCUUCUUUAGCCAUCCUCAGUUCAAACUUACAAAGUCUAAGAACAUAUUCUAAGAACAUAGUCGUUAUAGCAAUUCUAGAAUAACUAGGGACAGCUCGAUGCCACUAGAAAACGUAGCUAUAAUAAUAGGAGACUUGCAGGUCCCAGAUUACAUGCACCAACUCCUUGAAAAAGGCCCCUUCUGUGCGAUAGCAACUCUCAACAAGGUAGAAGACCUCAUCCCACCCUUUGAAAGGUUAAUUAUGGAUAUGCACGAUUUGGAGAAGGAGAGAUUUAGAUGGCACUUUGUGGAAGGGGUCAAAAAAACAAAAUAAG
rnacentral:lncRNA from 1 species